rnacentral:rRNA from 1 species
UACAGAGGGUGCUAACGUUGUUCGGAAUCACUGGGCUUAAAGGGCGCGUAGGCGGUCCGACAAGUCAGGGGUGAAAUCCUGCAGCUUAACUGUAGAAGUGCCUUUGAUACUGUCGGUCUGGAGGGAGAUAGGGGUGUGCGGAACUCACAGUGGAGCGGUGAAAUGCGUUGAUAUUGUGAGGAACGCCGGAGGCGAAAGCGGCGCACUGGAUCUCUUCUGACGCUGAGGCGCGAAAGCUAGGGGAGCAAACGGG